UAGAGCCAACACAGAUCUAUAGAUUUCUUCGAACUCGGAAUCUCAUAGCAGAAAACAUUUAAAGUUGAUGAUAUGUUAUCAAAAGUAGAGAAAAUGAAAGGAGAGCAAGAAUCUCAUAGGUAAGCCAUCACCAAACUCAGAAAAUGAACAAAAUUCUGUUACCCUGGAAGUCCUGCUUGUGAAAGUUUGCCACAAAAAAAGAAAAGGAUGUAAGUUGUCCAAUAAGGCAAGUUCCCACAGGUAAAAAGCAGGUGCCUUUGAAUCCUGACCUCAAUCAAACAAAACCUGGAAAUUUCCCGUCCCUUGCAGUUUCCAGUAAUGAAUUUGAACCUAGUAACAGUCAUAUGGUGAAGUCUUACUCGUUGCUAUUUAGAGUGACUCGUCCAGGAAGAAGAGAGUUUAAUGGAAUGAUUAAUGGAGAAACCAUGAAAAUAUUGAUGUCAAUGAAGAGCUUCCAGCCAGAAGAAAACGAAAUCGUGAGGAUGGGGAAAAGACAUUUGUUGCACAAAUGACAGUAUUUGAUAAAAACAGGUAAUGUUGAUGAACAAGCGAGGCUCCCACA
rnacentral:lncRNA from 1 species